rnacentral:rRNA from 1 species
GGGACGAACGCUGGCGGCGUGCUUAACACAUGCAAGUCGAGCGGAAAGGCCCUUCGGGGUACUCGAGCGGCGAACGGGUGAGUAACACGUGAGUAAUCUGCCCAUCGCUUCAGGAUAGCCAUCGGAAACGGUGAUUAAUACUGGAUAUGACAUUCCUUCGCAUGUUGGGGUGUGGAAAGUUUUUUCGGCGGUGGAUGUGCUCGCGGCCUAUCAGCUUGUUGGUGGGGUAAUGGCCUACCAAGGCUUUGACGGGUAGCCGGCCUGAGAGGGU